rnacentral:rRNA from 1 species
GACGUAGGAGGCGAGCGUUGUCCGGAUUUACUGGGCGUAAAGGGCGCGUAGGCGGCACUGUUAGUCAGGCGUGAAAGUCCUGGGCUCAACCUGGGAACUGCGCUUGAUACGGCAGAGCUAGAGGAUGGAAGAGGCUCGCGGAAUUCCCAGUGUAGAGGUGAAAUUCGUAGAUAUUGGGAAGAACACCGGUGGCGAAGGCGGCGAGCUGGUCCAUUACUGACGCUGAGGCGCGACAGCGUGGGGAGCAAACAGG